GGUCUCCUAUAGGGUCUCCUAUACCCAUCAGUAUAUGGGUAUAGGAGACCAUCCUGGUUCUCAGGAGCUCCAAUGUGGGCUAGGAUAAGGUUCAGGGAGCCAGUGGGGGCUGAUCUGAGUAGCAUGAAGAAGGAGGCAAAGCAUGUCUCUCACAUCCCCUCCCUUCCCAUCUAUUCCUUUUGGUCUUCUGUGGCCUUCCAUAUCUGCCCUUGGUCCUGCCCUUUCCACCCAUAUGCAUCAUCUCAUCCAUCUGCACCCACAUCCCUCUUCCCAACUCAGGGGGGCACCUUCUCUCAGGUAUCUUUAGAAGUUAAUGGUCCUUAGCAGUGAUAUUUAAUCCAGGAAAAAGACAGUAGUGGAGGAAGUUUUCAUUUGAAAAGGACAAUUGGCCCUGCUCCAGGCUUAAGAUAGAGAAAAAUUAAAGUUGGACAGGUCUCUUGCCCCUCAAAACCCCUUACUCAGUGGAGGCUCUUUCUCACGUCCCUUCCUCCCGCGCUGUUUCCUCCCCACCUUGGAAUGUGAUUCUCCAUCUCCACUUUUGGCCAGCUCAUUCCCGUUCUUCAAAAGCCUGCAGAUGCCACCCUGUUGAUGAAGCUGCCCCAUCCUUCCAGGCCAGCAGCCUCGGGCUCCCAUGGAACUAAGUUCAGCCCUCUAUGACAACUCUCAUCACGGGAUCGGGAGUACUGACUAAGUGCAUUCUUCUUCCUUACUACACUCUGAGCUUCUUUAGAGCAGGAACCGUAUCUCAUUCAUUCAUGUAUCUCCAGUGCUCUGCGCAGCCCCUACACAGAGUUGGCGCUCCAUAAAUGAAUGCGCUGUGAAAGAAUGAAGAGUCAAGGGAGAGGGGAGGUUCUGGAUGUAUGGCCCUUGAUCCUGGAAACCUCUAACAAGAAGAAUGCUUCAUUCAUGUGAUAAGGCCUUGCCACCUACCAGGAAUUGGCUCUUGACCUCUCCUUUCCAGCUCUCAUCACCUGAACUCCCAAAUCAAACACCAUAUACAGAAAGGUCAGGAGCCCAGGCAGGGGAGGGGAUGAACAAGCCCAUGAUCUUCACAUAUGUGGAAACUGAGUCCUAGAAGACGGACUAGGACUUGCCUAAGAUCAUCGAUUUGUGCCAGCGCAAACUCCAACAGUCUUCAGAUCUAAGGGGCAGAACCAGAAGAAAUGGCUUUAAAUUGAACACAAAAGGAUCCAGGACUUCUAUGAGUCUCAUGCUGCUGGCAGCCCAGAGACGACCAGACAUGCAGCUUGCCCUCACAAGCAGAGACAAGAAUGAAACAAAAUCCAGCACCACCAGCUCCAGAAAGUCACGUGCUAAAGAAAGGCAGCAAAAGAAAGGGGAGCUGAGCUGUGGAGAGGACAGAGCACUACGCUGGGGCUUGGGAAACCGGGGUCUUCAUCCCAGGCUCUGUGCCGGGUAACCUGGAGCAAACCCUUGCCCCUCCUGGUCCUCAGUUUCUUGAUCAGGCUCCGUGCCUAGGUUGAAAUCCAGUCCAGCGGGAUUCUUGGCCCUUUCUCUGGACGUCUUCCUCUGCUUUCCCCCCUCCCACUCCUGAAGCAGGACGUGAUCUCUCCUUUGUCUCUGCAG